UGCUGAGGUCCGGGCUGUGCC
rnacentral:miRNA from 1 species